rnacentral:rRNA from 1 species
CAGCCGCCGCGGUAAAACCAGCACCUAAGUGGUCAGGAUGAUUAUUGGGCCUAAAGCAUCCGUAGCCCGUUUUGUAAGUUUUCGGUUAAAUCCAUGCGCUUAACGUAUGGGCUGCCGGGAAUACUGCAUAACUAGGAAGUGGGAGAGGUAGACGGUACUCGGUAGGAAGGGGUAAAAUCCUUUGAUCUAUUGAUGACCACCUGUGGCGAAGGCGGUCUACCAGAACACGUUCGACGGUGAGGGAUGAAAGCUGGGGGAGCAAACCGGAUUAGAUACCCGGGUAGUCCCAGCUGUAAACUAUGCAAACUCAGUGAUGCAUUGGCUUAUGGCCAAUGCAGUGCUGCAGGGAAGCCGUUAGGUUUGCCGCCUGGGAAGUACGUACGCAAGUAUGAAACUUAAAGGAAUUGGCGGGGGAGCA